AUUCUAAUUAGUUAAACCGUCUUGCUAAAAUUUUCUCUUUAAUUGAAUCAAAUAGCCAAUUUCUUUAUUUUUUUUAUACUCCAUUAUUCUAUUUAAUUAUAAUUUUUUUUGGUAUGAUAAAUUGCCAUUAAUUAGUUGCUUAGCUGUUACCAAUGUUUUUAAUAUUGUUUUUUCGUAUCGAAAUAGUAGUCCUAUGUUUUGUUCUGGCUUCAGUUUUUGACGAGUUUGAUUUGUUUCUGUUACUCCCGACAUGCUCUAGGUGAUUCUUUAUUGCAUAACGUCUCAUGCAUGAACUUAAAUCACUGUCUUGCACUAACUGAAGACUAGGAUUGAUGUUAUUAGGACCUAGUUCUGUUUGAAUAAAUCAUUAGGCUUGAUUAUUUUCAUUGAGAUAAGUAUAGAAUAUUAAAGUUUCGGUUGGGAGUAGUGCUGGGGUUUUAAUCGUGAGGCUUAAAAUUUAUGAGGAAGGGAAUUUGUUAAACACCCUGCUCUUUACUUGCUAAUUUCUCUUAUAUGUUGCUGGAAUGGUGACUAAUCUAUUGAUGAUAACUGUAACAGAUUGGCGAUGGUAGGAACAAGACGUAGCUGUUGAAAUGUAACGAACAAAAUGCGCACAAGGUGUUCGCUGAAAUGGCUCAAAGGCCUGAUUGACAUCUACUCAUCAGGGUUCUUCGAGGGAAUACCCUUAACCUCCAGAGAAAACAACUACAAUAUUCUGAUUCUUCUUGAUGAUAUAGAGAGCUUCUACCUUCUUCUUUUUAUUCUCCUCUGAUAACUGACUAGGUUGGAUGCUGAUGAUAUAACUAGCCGACACUUAACGGAAAUAACAGACCAAAUAGCGACUAGAAAGUAAGGGAAAAAAAUGCACCGUUUGCCUUUAAGAUCCAAACGCUGCGUCUUACACCCAAUUAACUAAUUUAAACAUUGCAUUUUAAUUCCCCAUAAAAGUUUUGCUAAAACGCAUCGCAUGACACUUCCAUAAAGCCUUCAGCGACGUCAUUCAUCUCCAGCAUUUGACUCAUGCACCAACAACUCAACACGACACCAUCUCCACUUAGGCACUUAAGUCACUUCCACACACUUCGGUUCCUUCACAGUUCACAGAACCCUCUUAACGCGGCUUGUCCCCCUCUGUUAGGGCUUCUCGCCAUCGGCAUCAUGACAAGGCUUCCCCCAUCAAAGCACCUUGCCCAUAAGAUGUAGGUGAAGGUGCUUCAAAUGCCAUAGAAGUUCCCAGAUGCUGUCUUCCUUGGGCAAUCUGACCCAUUUCACAAGCACUUCGUGAAGGAAAGACUUGUACGUGUGAGCCGAUUUUGCUUUUCAAGCAAGAAGCAUGAAAAGUUGGAUGGAUCUUAGAAGACUUUGGAAGCUUCUAUUGCUCAAAUAAAAUUUACAUGAAGGAAGCAGUGUAUUUCAGCAGCUAAAAAGAAAAGAUGAAGAUUUUUUAUGGUGACUUUCUUAUUUGGUUGUUCAUAGAUGCAUGCGGUGAAGAAAAUGAUUUACGGUGGACAAACACAUGCAACGUCAAAGUCUAAAAAGGAGGCUAAAACCAAAUGAAGAUCCCAUGAAGCAGCUUUCUAUUUUAUUUUUGCUUGCUCUUGGACGUGAGAGUGUGAAUGUAAGAGGCGGCAGCUUGUUGAUAGCUUCAGUUGGUGCAACUAAAGUGGACUAGAAGUGUUUAAUCUUCCUAUGCUGAAAAUGUGGUAGUUGAUAUUCAAGCAGAACCAAAUAAAGUUAAUGGCUUCGAUUGGUGCAUGAGUUGAUUUUAUUAAUCGGCUGGUAUGAAAAGAAAGAAAAUGGAAAGGAGAGGAAAAUAAGCUAAAGGGGAUUGAUUUGUAGGAGAGGUGCCGUGAUUGAAGGGGAUUAAAGAGAAUUUUCGGUGGGAAUUCAUUGAGGAGAGGUGCCUUGCUUGACUUGGAUUGGAUCUAUAGUGAAGAGUGCCGUGCUUGACAAGUGGAGAGGGACACAGUUGGUGGUGAUUGUUUAUAAGAAGUCGGCUGGAAUAAAUUUGGAUUGGAGGAAGGAGUUUGGCACCGACUUGAGACAGCUAUAUAUAUAUAUUGCUGGACGGAAGAGAUAACAGGAGGGGGUGAGAAGAGAGGUAGACGUGUAGGGAUUGAGAGGUGUUGUGCUGGAGUUUUAUUGUGCUGAGAAAGUAUUAACGUGAGAGCGGAGAUCAUAAUUGGCUGCUUUUGAAGGGGGAAGGUCAGUUGGUCAGUAGGUGGGGACGUGUGAGUGAAAGAAUGUUGUGCUGGAAUUGAAGAAGGAGUUGUGUCGGUGCAGGAUUUUUUUCUGGGGUUGAAAGGAAUUGGCUGGAGUAAUUUAAUUGGCUGAGGUUAAGUACGCUUUGAGAGAAAGUAAGGUGUUGAAAUGAACUUUUAUUGUUGCUAGAGUAUUGACGAGGGAAAGGGAGAGUGAACGUGGGGUCUGGAAAGGGAGUGUCGGUGGAAUAAAUUUAGAGCCGAGUAGAGAGACGUCCGGGUUCUUCUUUGUCCAGAUUUUUGGACGGGUGCUGUUGUUUUUUUUAGAGCUGGGUAGAGAGAGAAACUAGGAGACGUUGGAGAUAUUUUUUGGGCAGAGUAUUAUUUUUUUUUUUUUUGGGUUUUGGAUAGAGACGGAAGGGGGAAACAGAGGGUUGGAUUUUAUGGAUAGGGGAGUGUUUAUUUUUCUGGUGCUGGGUCUAGGAUGUAACUCGCAAUGCUGGGAUUUACGGACGGGUGUUUCCUUACUUUUCGAGAGGAUGGUUUCAAUUUGAGGGAGUUUUUAGCUCUAUUUUCUCUGUA